AAGUGGCAUGGCUCUCCUCAGUUAUCUGCUUGGGCUGGAGCUGGUGAUGGGUCAGUCACUCUGACCACAGGGUCACCGGGGAAUGUGAUACCCACAUAGUCACUGUGAGAUCAUGCAUUGGUUGUCAUGGCAACCAGCCUUGGUGAACUGGGGAGCUCAGAGAGAAGGAAGGGUAUGGAUACAGCAGGAUGCAGAAAGCAAAUUUCCCAGUGAAAAUUCCCCCAGCACAAGAUGCAGAACAGUGUGUGAAGUGUCCUGAAAAUAAGUAUCCAAACAUUGCGAGAGAUGGCUGUCUCCAACAAAGUGGUGAAUUUUCCAUCCCUCAAAGAAACUCUGGGGCUGAUCCUGGUCUGAACGUCUCUCUCCUUCUAUCUCCUCACAGCCCAAGCUUUAGGGGUCUUCAUUAAGCACUGAGACACCCCCCUAGUCCAAGCAAAUAACUGCACUCUCAGCUGCACCCUCCUGAUCUCCCUCAAGCUCUGUUUCUUCUGUGCCCUGACCUGUAUUGGCCAACCCACCCCAGCCUCCUGCCUCCUCCAACAAAUGGCUUUUGGUGUUGUGUUCACUGUGGCCGUCUCCUCCGACUUGGCCAAAAUUGUCACCAUGGUUCUGGCCUUCAGGGCCACAAGCUUGGGGAGCAACAUUAGAGGGUGAGUGGGGACCAGAGCCUCGACUUCAGUAGUCCUGUCCUGCUCCCUGGUCCAGGUAAACAUCUGUGUGAUCUGACUGGGCACCUCUCCCCCAUUCCUAGAGAUCAAUACAUGUUCUGGGCCUGGACUCAUUAUAAUCGAGUGUAAUGAGUACUUUGUGAUUGCCUUCUAUUAUGUCCUGAGUUACUUGGGCUUUCUGGCUCUUGUGUGCUUCACCGUGGCUUUCCUGGCCAGGACGCUGCCUGACAGCUUCAACGAGGCCAAUUUUAUCACUUUCGGCACGCUGGUGUUCUGCACCGUCUGGGCUUCCUUCCUCCCCACAUAUCAGAGCACCAAGUGGAAGGCCAUGGUGGCUGCGGAGAUUUUCUCCAUCAUGGGCUCCAGAGCUGGGGUUCUUGGCUGCAUCUUCAUCCCCAAGUGCUAUGUGAUCUUGCUGCAGCCUGACAGGAAUACCCGGGAGUGGUUGAAGAGGAAAUGAAGCUUGGGACAUUA